GUGAGCCAUGUGAUGGGAAACCAUCCCGCACGGUUCGGAGAGCACUGAAGGCGAAUGAGAGGUUCACCGCCACCCAUAU
rfam:Oryza meridionalis cultivar OR44 (W2112) chromosome 2, whole genome shotgun sequence.